GACGAACGCUGGCGGCGUGCUUAACACAUGCAAGUCGAACGGAAAGGCCCCUUUGGGGGUACUCGAGUGGCGAACGGGUGAGUAACACGUGAGUAACCUGCCCUUGACUUCGGGAUAACUUCAGGAAACUGGGGCUAAUACCGGAUAGGAAUCCUUGCUGCAUGGUGGGGGUUGGAAAGCUUCGGCGGUUUUGGAUGGACUCGCGGCUUAUCAGCUUGUUGGUGGGGUAGUGGCUUACCAAGGCUUUGACGGGUAGCCGGCCUGAGAGGGCGACCGGCCACAUUGGGACUGAGAUACAGCCCAGACUCCUACGGGAGGCAGCAGUGGGGAAUAUUGCACAAUGGGCGGAAGCCUGAUGCAGCAACGCCGCGUGCGGGAUGACGGCCUUCGGGUUGUAAACCGCGUUCAGCAGGGGCGAAGCUUGUGGUGACGGUACCUGCAGAAGAAGCACCGGCUAACUACGUG
rnacentral:rRNA from 1 species